GACGAACCGAGCGAACGUUGUCCGGAAUCACUGGGCGUAAAGGGCGCGUAGGCGGCCUGAUAAGUAGGGGGUGAAAUCCUGCGGCUUAACCGCAGGGCUGCCUUCUAAACUGUCAGGCUAGAGCACAGUAGAGGCAGGUGGAAUUCCCGGUGUAGCGGUGGAAUGCGUAGAGAUCGGGAAGAACAUCAGUGGCGAAGGCGGCCUGCUGGGCUGUUGCUGACGCUGAGGCGCGACAGCGUGGGGAGCAAACAGG
rnacentral:rRNA from 1 species